rnacentral:rRNA from 1 species
UACGAAGGGGGCUAGCGGUGUUCGGAAUUACUGGGCGUAAAGCGCGCGUGGGCGGACUUUCAAGUCAGGGGUGAAAUCCCGAGGCUCACCCUCGGAACUGCCUUUGAUACUGUGAGUCUUGAGCUCGGAAGAGGUGGGUGGAAUUCCUAGUGUAGAGGUGAAAUUCGUAGAUAUUAGGAAGAACACCAGUGGCGAAGGCGGCCCACUCGUCCGAUGCUGACGCUGAGGUGCGAAAGCGUGGGGAGCAAACAAG